AGAAUCAACGCUGGCGGCGUGCCUAACACAUGCAAGUCGAACGAGAAAGUGGAGCAAUCCAUGAGUAAAGUGGCGACCGGGUGAGUAACACGUGACUAACCUACCCUACAGUGGGGGAUAACUCCGGGAAACCGGGGCUAAUACCGCAUAACAUCGUAAGAUCAAAGGAGCAAUUCGCUGAAGGAGGGGGUCGCGGCUGAUUAGUUAGUUGGUGAGGUAACGGCUCACCAAGACGAAGAUCAGUAGCCGGCCUGAGAGGGCGCACGGCCACACUGGAACUGAAACACGGUCCAGACUCCUACGGGAGGCAGCAGUGGGGAAUUUUGCGCAAUGGGGGAAACCCUGACGCAGCAACGCCGCGUGGAGGAUGAAGUCCCUUGGGAUGUAAACUCCUUUCGAUCGGGACGAUUAUGACGGUACCGGAAGAAGAAGCACCGGCUAACUCUGCGCCAGCAGCCGC
rnacentral:rRNA from 1 species